rnacentral:rRNA from 1 species
UACGAAGGGGGCUAGCGUUGUUCGGAAUUACUGGGCGUAAAGCGCACGCAGGCGGUUUGGUCAGUCAGAAGUGAAAGCCCCGGGCUUAACCUGGGAACUGCUUUUGAUACUGCCAAGCUUGAAUCACGGAGAGGGUAGUGGAAUUCCGAGUGUAGAGGUGAAAUUCGUAGAUAUUCGGAAGAACACCAGUGGCGAAGGCGACUACCUGGCCGUCGAUUGACGCUCAUGUGCGAAAGCGUGGGGAGCAAACAGG